rnacentral:lncRNA from 1 species
AAGGAAGGGAUUUUUCCACCUUAGUUGUCCCAUGAAUGUAAAAGAGACAAAAAAGAAUUAUCUAUCUUUGUUGUCUUGUAUUUUCAAAGGAGAUAAAGAGAAAAAUUCUCUCUUAAUUCUCCUAUAAUGAUAAGACAAAAGAAAAUUAAUCGGGUUAUCGAUUAAUAUUCUUUUGAUCGUCCUUUUAUUGGAAGAACUGUAGGAUGUUCGAAAAAUAAUCGAACUCUUUGAUUCUAUCCAAAGUUGAAUCUUUCGAUUUGGCCAAAUUAGACCAAAUUGAAAUUGCAUUAGACAUUUUAUGUGAUUAAUGACUGAGAAUUUGACAAAUAAAAAAAUGCAUUCGAAAUUUUUAAGCUAUGAAUUUGAUUCUGAAUCUUACAAUCUCAUAUGAUCCCAAAUUAACCACCUCAAAAUAAU